CAAGCGAAUAAGCGCACACGGUGGAUGCCUAGGCGGUCAGAGGCGAUGAAGGACGUGGUAGCCUGCGAAAAGUGUCGGGGAGCUGGCAACAAGCUUUGAUCCGGCAAUAUCCGAAUGGGGAAACCCACUGCUUCGGCAGUAUCCUGCAGUGAAUUCAUAGCUGCUGGAAGCGAACCCGGUGAACUGAAAUAUCUAAGUAACCGGAGGAAAAGAAAUCAACCGAGAUUCCCUAAGUAGUGACGAGCGAACGGGGAGCAGCCCUUAAGCUGGAAUGGCUUUAGAAAAACAAUCUGGAAAGAUUGGCCAUAGAAGGUGAUAGCCCUGUAUUUAAAAGGGCCACUCCAGUGAAGACGAGUAGGGCGGGGCACGUGAAACCCUGUCUGAAUAUGGGGGGACCAUCCUCCAAGGCUAACUG
rnacentral:rRNA from 1 species